UAACUCCAAACUUUUUGCUUCGCAAAUUGAUUACAGCUUUACGAGCUCUGAGCUAUAUAAGAGCGAGAGCCAGCCCUGAUACGGUGACGUUUUCCUGGUUAGCGAAAUCUAGGAGAAUCAAUAUUUCCAUUUUCCCCUUCAGUACUUCAAAUUGAACUCUCUUUCACCCCUCCUCUCUCUCUCUCCCUCUCUAUCAUUCUCUCUUAUAGGAGUUGUGGUAGUGCCAUGGAUGACCUUCCUUUACAGAAGGUGGCAAUAUCGGGUCCCACAUUAGCCUCCAUGAUACAGCGCUUCUCCUCCUCUCUCGGCGACGUGGACGGUCUCCUCUUCGGCCACGUCAACCACAUCACUCCCUCCACUCUCUCCGAUGACUCUCCUCAAACUCACUCCGAUUCCGGUUCCCUUCAACUCGUCGCCACUAUCACUUCCUUCCUUUGCCCUAGCUUCCCUCUCUCCUUCUACGACUCACUCGGCCGGGUGGAUUCGUAUUCCCUCCUCCGAUUACUCUCCGCUCAAUCUCACAACCAUUUUAUCGGCUGGGUCUCCGGCCCCCCGAGAACCCCCACUCCCCCUUUAAAAAAAAUUAUUUUUACUUUAUUUUUUUCUUUUUCUAAUAAAUAAUCAGAAAUAUUUUCAUUUUAAUAAAAAAAUUAUUUUUAUUAAACAAUAAAUCUAAUCUAAACAAAUUAAUUUAAUUAUUUAAUUAUUUAAUUAUAUUGUCUUAUUAUUUUUUAAGCACCAGACAGAAACAGAACACACCCUCUAACUAACUUUUUGUCUUCAGGUAACUGUAACUCCAAACUUUUUGCUUCGCAAAUUGAUUACAGCUUUACGAGCUCUGAGCUAUAUAAGAGCGAGAGCCAGCCCUGAUACGGUGACGUUUUCCUGGUUAGCGAAAUCUAGGAGAAUCAAUAUUUCCAUUUUCCCCUUCAGUACUUCAAAUUGAACUCUCUUUCACCCCUCCUCUCUCUCUCUCCCUCUCUAUCAUUCUCUCUUAUAGGAGUUGUGGUAGUGCCAUGGAUGACCUUCCUUUACAGAAGGUGGCAAUAUCGGGUCCCACAUUAGCCUCCAUGAUACAGCGCUUCUCCUCCUCUCUCGGCGACGUGGACGGUCUCCUCUUCGGCCACGUCAACCACAUCACUCCCUCCACUCUCUCCGAUGACUCUCCUC
rnacentral:lncRNA from 1 species